rnacentral:rRNA from 1 species
UACGGGGGGGGGCAAGCGUUGUUCGGAAUUACUGGGCGUAAAGGGCUCGUAGGCGGCCAACUAAGUCAGACGUGAAAUCCCUCGGCUUAACCGGGGGAACUGCGUCUGAUACUGGAUGGCUUGAAUCCGGGAGAGGGAUGCGGAAUUCCAGGUGUAGCGGUGAAAUGCGUAGAUAUCUGGAGGAACACCGGUGGCGAAGGCGGCAUCCUGGACCGGCAUUGACGCUGAGGAGCGAAAGCCAGGGGAGCAAAGCGGGAU